rnacentral:rRNA from 1 species
CGGAAUCACUGGGCGUAAAGCGCACGUAGGCGGACUUUCAAGUCAGGGGUGAAAUCCCGGGGCUCAACCUCGGAACUGCCUUUGAUACUGUUGGUCUCGAGUCCGGAAGAGGUGGGUGGAAUCCCUAGUGUAGAGGUGAAAUUCGUAGAUAUUAGGAAGAACACCGGUGGCGAAGGCGGCCCACUGGUCCGGUACUGACGCUGAGGUGCGAAAGCGUGGGGAGC